AGUGAACGCUGGCGGUAGGCCUAACACAUGCAAGUCGAACGGCAGCACAGUAAGAGCUUGCUCUUACGGGUGGCGAGUGGCGGACGGGUGAGGAAUACAUCGGAAUCUACUUUUUCGUGGGGGAUAACGUAGGGAAACUUACGCUAAUACCGCAUACGACCUACGGGUGAAAGCAGGGGAUCUUCGGACCUUGCGCGAUUGAAUGAGCCGAUGUCGGAUUAGCUAGUGGGCGGGGUAAAGGCCCACCAAGGCGACGAUCCGUAGCUGGUCUGAGAGGAUGAUCAGCCACACUGGAACUGAGACACGGUCCAGACUCCUACGGGAGGCAGCAGUGGGGAAUAUUGGACAAUGGGCGCAAGCCUGAUCCAGCCAUACCGCGUGGGUGAAGAAGGCCUUCGGGUUGUAAAGCCCUUUUGUUGGGAAAGAAAAGCAGCAGGUUAAUACCCCGCUGUUCUGACGGUGCCCAAAGAAUAAGCACCGGCUAACUUCGUG
rnacentral:rRNA from 1 species